UGAUUCCUUCUUUCUCUUCUCCACACCCCUCCUUAUAUAGGCAAGAGGUCCUAGAUUAAAUCAAACUCUUUUAGAUGCUAGGAAAAGGACUCUCCAUAUUUAGAUCAAAUCCAAACUCCAUAAAGCAUAAGAAAUCUUAAUCCAAGUAGGAGAGGUGCCUCCCUUCAUUAUGGCGUACGCCCAAAGGGAAGGGACUGUUCCCAGCCCCUUUCCAACCACC
rnacentral:lncRNA from 1 species